GUAGAUCGUCCAGCCAACAAAAUAUCCAGAGCAGGGAGCAGAGAUAUAUCGUGUUCCGAUAUGGAGUUCGAGAAGAGCAAUGUGGCUGUCACGGAGGUAACGCGAGCUCCGCUAUCAACGGUAUCGACGACGCUCCAAAUCUCGUAAUCUACAGAUGCGGCCUUCGGCUGUCGAUUCGAAUUCGUCGUCGAUCGGUGUAUUAUCCGCUCGGUAGAGAGGAGGAGGAGGAGGAGGAGGAGGA